CACACUAUCAUUAACUGAAUCCAUAGGUUAAUGAGGCGAACCGGGGGAACUGAAACAUCUAAGUACCCCGAGGAAAAGAAAUCAACCGAGAUUCCCCCAGUAGCGGCGAGCGAACGGGGAGGAGCCCAGAGCCUGAAUCAGUGUGUGUGUUAGUGGAAGCGUCUGGAAAGGCGCGCGAUACAGGGUGACAGCCCCGUACACAAAAAUGCACAUGCUGUGAGCUCGAUGAGUAGGGCGGGACACGUGGUAUCCUGUCUGAAUAUGGGGGGACCAUCCUCCAAGGCUAAAUACUCCUGACUGACCGAUAGUGAACCAGUACCGUGAGGGAAAGGCGAAAAGAACCCCGGCGAGGGGAGUGAAAAAGAACCUGAAACCGUGUACGUACAAGCAGUGGGAGCCUCUUAAUGGGGUGACUGCGUACCUUUUGUAUAAUGGGUCAGCGACUUAUAUUCUGUAGCAAGGUUAACCGAAUAGGGGAGCCGAAGGGAAACCGAGUCUUAACUGGGCGUUAAGUUGCAGGGUAUAGACCCGAAACCCGGUGAUCUAGCCAUGGGCAGGUUGAAGGUUGGGUAACACUAACUGGAGGACCGAACCGACUAAUGUUGAAAAAUUAGCGGAUGACUUGUGGCUGGGGGUGAAAGGCCAAUCAAACCGGGAGAUAGCUGGUUCUCCCCGAAAGCUAUUUAGGUAGCGCCUCGUGAAUUCAUCUCCGGGGGUAGAGCACUGUUUCGGCAAGGGGGUCAUCCCGACUUACCAACCCGAUGCAAACUGCGAAUACCGGAGAAUGUUAUCACGGGAGACACACGGCGGGUGCUAACGUCCGUCGUGAAGAGGGAAACAACCCAGACCGCCAGCUAAGGUCCCAAAGUCAUGGUUAAGUGGGAAACGAUGUGGGAAGGCCCAGACAGCCAGGAUGUUGGCUUAGAAGCAGCCAUCAUUUAAAGAAAGCGUAAUAGCUCACUGGUCGAGUCGGCCUGCGCGGAAGAUGUAACGGGGCUAAACCAUGCACCGAAGCUGCGGCAGCGACACUAUGUGUUGUUGGGUAGGGGAGCGUUCUGUAAGCCUGUGAAGGUGGCCUGUGAGGGUUGCUGGAGGUAUCAGAAGUGCGAAUGCUGACAUAAGUAACGAUAAAGCGGGUGAAAAGCCCGCUCGCCGGAAGACCAAGGGUUCCUGUCCAACGUUAAUCGGGGCAGGGUGAGUCGACCCCUAAGGCGAGGCCGAAAGGCGUAGUCGAUGGGAAACAGGUUAAUAUUCCUGUACUUGGUGUUACUGCGAAGGGGGGACGGAGAAGGCUAUGUUGGCCGGGCGACGGUUGUCCCGGUUUAAGCGUGUAGGCUGGUUUUCCAGGCAAAUCCGGAAAACCAAGGCUGAGGCGUGAUGACGAGGCACUACGGUGCUGAAGCGACAAAUGCCCUGCUUCCAGGAAAAGCCUCUAAGCAUCAGGUAACAUCAAAUCGUACCCCAAACCGACACAGGUGGUCAGGUAGAGAAUACCAAGGCGCUUGAGAGAACUCGGGUGAAGGAACUAGGCAAAAUGGUGCCGUAACUUCGGGAGAAGGCACGCUGAUAUGUAGGUGAAGCGACUUGCUCGUGGAGCUGAAAUCAGUCGAAGAUACCAGCUGGCUGCAACUGUUUAUUAAAAACACAGCACUGUGCAAACACGAAAGUGGACGUAUACGGUGUGACGCCUGCCCGGUGCCGGAAGGUUAAUUGAUGGGGUUAGCGGUAACGCGAAGCUCUUGAUCGAAGCCCCGGUAAACGGCGGCCGUAACUAUAACGGUCCUAAGGUAGCGAAAUUCCUUGUCGGGUAAGUUCCGACCUGCACGAAUGGCGUAAUGAUGGCCAGGCUGUCUCCACCCGAGACUCAGUGAAAUUGAACUCGCUGUGAAGAUGCAGUGUACCCGCGGCAAGACGGAAAGACCCCGUGAACCUUUACUAUAGCUUGACACUGAACAUUGAGCCUUGAUGUGUAGGAUAGGUGGGAGGCUUUGAAGUGUGGACGCCAGUCUGCAUGGAGCCGACCUUGAAAUACCACCCUUUAAUGUUUGAUGUUCUAACGUUGGCCCCUAAUCGGGGUUGCGGACAGUGUCUGGUGGGUAGUUUGACUGGGGCGGUCUCCUCCUAAAGAGUAACGGAGGAGCACGAAGGUUGGCUAAUCCUGGUCGGACAUCAGGAGGUUAGUGCAAUGGCAUAAGCCAGCUUGACUGCGAGCGUGACGGCGCGAGCAGGUGCGAAAGCAGGUCAUAGUGAUCCGGUGGUUCUGAAUGGAAGGGCCAUCGCUCAACGGAUAAAAGGUACUCCGGGGAUAACAGGCUGAUACCGCCCAAGAGUUCAUAUCGACGGCGGUGUUUGGCACCUCGAUGUCGGCUCAUCACAUCCUGGGGCUGAAGUAGGUCCCAAGGGUAUGGCUGUUCGCCAUUUAAAGUGGUACGCGAGCUGGGUUUAGAACGUCGUGAGACAGUUCGGUCCCUAUCUGCCGUGGGCGCUGGAGAACUGAGGGGGGCUGCUCCUAGUACGAGAGGACCGGAGUGGACGCAUCACUGGUGUUCGGGUUGUCAUGCCAAUGGCACUGCCCGGUAGCUAAAUGCGGAAGAGAUAAGUGCUGAAAGCAUCUAAGCACGAAACUUGCCCCGAGAUGAGUUCUCCCUGAGACUUAGAGUCUCCUGAAGGAACGUUGAAGACGACGACGUUGAUAGGCCGGGUGUGUAAGCGCAGCGAUGCGUUGAGCUAACCGGUACUAAUGAACCGUGAGGCUUAACCUU
rnacentral:rRNA from 1 species